rnacentral:rRNA from 1 species
UUUUGCCUACGGGGCGCAGCAGUGAGGAAUAUUGGUCAAUGGUCGGGAGACUGAACCAGCCAAGCCGCGUGAGGGAGGAAGGUACAGAGUAUCGUAAACCUCUUUUGUCAGGGGACAAAGACUGGGACGCGUCCCCGGAUGAGUGUACCUGAAGAAAAAGCAUCGGCUAACUCCGUGCCAGCAGCCGCGGUAAUACGGAGGAUCCGAGCGUUAUCCGGAUGUAUUGGGUUUAAAGGGAGCGUAGGUGGAUUGUUAAGUCAGUUGGGAAAGUUUGCGGCUCAACCGUAAAAUUGCAGUGGAAACUG